GGAGGAUACGAGCGUUAUCCGGAUUUAUUGGGUUUAAAGGGUGCGCAGGUGGUCUUGCAAGUCAGUGGUGAAAAGCUGAGGCUCAACCUCAGCCUUGCCGUUGAAACUGUAAGACUUGAGAGUACAUGAUGUGGGCGGAAUGCGUAGUGUAGCGGUGAAAUGCAUAGAUAUUACGCAGAACUCCGAUUGCGAAGGCAGCUCACAAAGGUAUAUCUGACACUGAGGCACGAAAGCGUGGGGAGCGAACAGGAUUAGAUACCCUGGUAGUCCACGCCGUAAACGAUGAUUACUCGAAGUAUGCGAUAUGACAGUAUGCUUCCAAGCGAAAGUGAUAAGUAAUCCACCUGGGGAGUACGCCGGCAACGGUG
rnacentral:rRNA from 1 species